GUCUUUAUCGUCUAGUGGUUAGGACACUACCCUUUCACGGUAGGAACACGGGUUCAAAUCCCGUUAAAGAUA
rnacentral:tRNA from 1 species